rnacentral:rRNA from 1 species
CAAUGGGCGGAAGCCUGAUGCAGCGACGCCGCGUGAGGGAUGACGGCCUUCGGGUUGUAAACCUCUUUCAGUAGGGAAGAAGCGAAAGUGACGGUACCUGCAGAAGAAGCGCCGGCUAACUACGUGCCAGCAGCCGCGGUAAUACGUAGGGCGCAAGCGUUAUCCGGAAUUAUUGGGCGUAAAGAGCUCGUAGGCGGUUUGUCGCGUCUGCUGUGAAAGACCGGGGCUCAACUCCGGUUCUGCAGUGGGUACGGGCAGACUAGAGUGAUGUAGGGGAGACUGGAAUUCCUGGUGUAGCGGUGAAAUGCGCAGAUAUCAGGAGGAACACCGAUGGCGAAGGCAGGUCUCUGGGCAUUAACUGACGCUGAGGAGCGAAAGCAUGGGGAGCGAACAGGAUUAGAUACCCUGGUAGUCCAUGCCGUAAACGUUGGGCACUAGGUGUGGGGGACAUUCCACGUUUUCCGCGCCGUAGCUAACGCAUUAAGUGCCCCGCCUGGGGAGUACGGCCGCAAGGCUA